ACCUGUGGUAUUGUGCUUGUAGGAACUGGAACUCAUCCUUGAUGCGGUCGCAGGAGUCAGAAGUGGUGAACUUGAGCUGUUGACUGGACUGAGAGGACGCCUGAAAACAAAAACGACAACCAGAAACAGAAUAGAAGAGCAGCAUCACCCGGAACACAAACCAAGCAGUGGAGGAGCGGGCGCCCCGUGUGACACACUACUGAACUGACCCGUUCGUACCUGCACACAGGGACGUACGAAGAGCAGCAGGGAUAAGGGCUGAUGAAUCGCCACCAAAAAUCUUUGUUGUUCAGGAAUAAUCACAUACGACUUAUUAAUUGCAUUGAUAUGCAUGAGAAGAUUCAAUAAAACAUUCAAAAAUA